AAAGCUAGGGGAAUCCUCUGAAUCAAGACCUCCAGCACCUCUGCAAGAGUCUUCUGGUAAGUCUGCCUCUACUGCUCCCUCUGUACAGCAACUUGCUUCUUCUACUCCUCUACCAACACCCAUCUACACCACAUCUGAAACCCCUCCUUCAACAACCAGAACCUCUCAACCACUACCAAAAUUCAACCUUGCCAAUACCUCAUUACCACUAUCCGAAGCUGAAGAAAUGAAUCAAACCACUUCCUCAUCCUCAGCCCCAGAA
rnacentral:lncRNA from 1 species